CCUACGGGGGGCAGCAGUGAGGAAUAUUGGUCAAUGGACGCAAGUCUGAACCAGCCAUGCCACGUGCAGGAAGACGGCUCUAUGAGUUGUAAACUGCUUUUGUACGAGGGUAAACGCAGAUACGUGUAUCUGUCUGAAAGUACCUUACGAAUAAGGAUCGGCUAACUCCGUGCCAGCAGCCGCGGUAAUACGGAGGAUUCAAGCGUUAUCCGGAUUUAUUGGGUUUAAAGGGUGCGUAGGCGGUCGGAUAAGUUAGAGGUGAAAUCCCGGGGCUUAACUUCGGAAUUGCCUCUGAUACUGUUGGUCUAGAGAGUAGGUGAGGUAGGCGGAAUGUAUGGUGUAGCGGUGAAAUGCUUAGAGAUCAUACAGAACACCGAUUGCGAAGGCAGCUUACCAAGCUAACACUGACGUUGAGGCACGAAAGCGUGGGGAGCAAACAGGAUUAGAUACCCUAGUAGUC
rnacentral:rRNA from 1 species